UACGUAGGGUGCGAGCGUUAAUCGGAAUUACUGGGCGUAAAGCGUGCGCAGGCGGUUUUGUAAGUCAGAUGUGAAAUCCCCGGGCUUAACCUGGGAACUGCGUUUGAAACUACAAGGCUAGAGUGUGGCAGAGGGGGGGUGGAAUUCCGACGUGUAGCAGUGAAAUGCGUAGAGAUGUGGAGGAACACCGAUGGCGAAGGCAGCCCCCUGGGUUAACACUGACGCUCAGGCACGAAAGCGUGGGGAGCAAACAGGAUUAGAAACC
rnacentral:rRNA from 1 species